rnacentral:rRNA from 1 species
UACGAAGGGGGCUAGCGUUGUUCGGAAUUACUGGGCGUAAAGCGCACGUAGGCGGAUAUUUAAGUCAGGGGUGAAAUCCCGGGGCUCAACCCCGGAACUGCCUUUGAUACUGGGUAUCUCGAGUCCGAGAGAGGUGAGUGGAAUUCCGAGUGUAGAGGUGAAAUUCGUAGAUAUCGUGAGGAAGACCAGUGGCGAAGGCGGGUUUCUGGAGAGUUCCUGACGCUGAGGCACGAAGGCCAGGGGAGCAAACGGG